rnacentral:rRNA from 1 species
AUUGAACGCUGGCGGCAGGCCUAACACAUGCAAGUCGAACGAGUGGCGGACGGGUGAGUAAUGUCUGGGACCCUGCCUGAUGGAGGGGGAUAACUACUGGAAACGGUAGCUAAUACCGCAUACCAUCGGAUGUACCCAGAUGGGAUUAGCUAGUAGGUGGGGUAACGGCUCACCUAGGCGACGAUCCCUAGCUGGUCUGCGAGGAUGACCAGCCACACUGGGACUGAGACACGGUCCAGACUCCUACGGGAGGCAGCAGUGGGGAAUAUUGCACAAUGGGCGCAAGCCUGAUGCAGCCAUGCCGCGUGUAUGAAGAAGGCCUUCGGGUUGUAAAGUACGUUCAGCGGGGAGGCGUUACCCGCAGAAGAAGCACCGGCUAACUCCGUGCCAGCAGCCGCGGUAAUUC